rnacentral:rRNA from 1 species
AGAAUCAACGCUGGCGGCGUGCCUCAGACAUGCAAGUCGAACGAUUAAAGCUCUCUUCGGAGAGUGCAUAAAGUGGCGCACGGGUGAGUAACACGUAAGUAAUCUACCUUCGAGUGGGGAAUAACCCGGGGAAACCCGAGCUAAUACCGCAUAACGCAGCGGCAUCGCAAGAUGACAGUUGUUAAAAGGAGCAAUCCGCUUGAAGAGGAGCUUGCGGCAGAUUAGCUAGUUGGUAAGGUAACGGCUUACCAAAGGCUACGAUCUGUAUCCGGUCUAAGAGGACGGUCGGACACACUGACACUGAAUAACGGGUCAGACUCCUACGGGAGGCAGCAGUCGGGAAUUUUGGGCAAUGGGGGAAACCCUGACCCAGCAACGCCGCGUGAAGGAUGAAGUAUUUCGGUAUGUAAAACUUCGAAAAGAAUAGGAAGAAUUAAUGACGGUACUAUUUAUAAGGUCCGGCUAACUACGUGCCAGCAGCCGC